GACGUAGGGCGCGAGCGUUGUCCGGAUUUAUUGGGCGUAAAGAGCUCGUAGGCGUCUUAGAAAGUCAGGUGUGAAACCUCCAGCUUAACCUGGAGACGCCACUUGAUACUUCUAUGGCUUGAGUUCGGUAGGGGACCAUGGAAUUCACGGUGUAGCAGUGAAAUGCGUAGAUAUCGUGAGGAAGACCAGUGGCGAAGGCGGGUCUCUGGACAGUUCCUGACGCUGAGGCGCGAAGGCCAGGGGAGCAAACGGG
rnacentral:rRNA from 1 species